CUCAAGACAGACAUUUUUUGCACCGUUCAUCAAUACUUUUUGUAAAACGAUCGGCUAUUUGGAGGACAUUAGGCUUCCUGAACGUUUGCCAGAAACUAAAGCGAUAAACUUUCAAGAUGGCAAAUAUUCUGCCGACCUUCUCCAGAAGAAGGAAUAUUCCAAGGCAACCCGUCCCUGCAAAACAUUUGUAGCUCCCUCUGUUCCUGAAGCCUCCUCUCCUGGGACCUCUGUUCCUUGACCAUCCACCUCUCAGGUUUUUUGGGAAAUACCCAUUGAGCUUAUUGGUCAUUUGUAUUUAAAAGAAGUGACAAUGGGAAAUGAAAUGGAUAAAAAAUUCAACAUUUCUGGAGAUUUAAGUGGGAACACAGCAAAGAAUGCCUCUCUGAUAUUCAGCGCAGCAGAAAAGACGCACAUUGCUGUUUAUUACUGUGCAGCACGAGAAGCUCACUAACAGAGAUCCUGUUUGUGUUUCACAAAAACUGCACUCAGUUUUUCCUCAUCAUCAGUGGUUUGCAAAAAGAGAGGAAAUAGCUUUGAAGCA